rnacentral:tRNA from 1 species
CAGAAGGUAGUUUAGUUGAAAAUUUCAGCUUUGGGAGUUGAAGAUGAAGGUUUAAAUUCUUCCCUUCUGA